UACAGAGGUGGCAAGCGUUGUUCGGAAUUACUGGGCGUAAAGGGCGCGUAGGCGGCCUUCUAAGUCAGACGUGAAAUCCCCCGGCUUAACCUGGGAACUGCGUCUGAUACUGGGAGGCUAGAGUAUGGGAGAGGGAUGUAGAAUUCCAGGUGUAGCGGUGAAAUGCGUAGAUAUCUGGAGGAAUACCGGUGGCGAAGGCGGCAUCCUGGACCAUUACUGACGCUGAGGAGCGAAAGCGUGGGGAGCGAACAGG
rnacentral:rRNA from 1 species